AGAGUUUGAUCCUGGCUCAGGAUGACCUCUGGCGGCGUGCCUAAUACAUGCAAGUCGAACGCGGGCACUUGUGCCCGAGUGGCGAACGGGUGAGUAAUACAUAAGUAACCUGGCCUUUACAGGGGGAUAACUGCUGGAAACGGCAGCUAAGACCGCAUAGGUAGGGACACUGCAUGGUGACCGUAUUAAAAGUGCUGCAAGGCACUGGUAGAGGAUGGACUUAUGGCGCAUUAGCUGGUUGGUGAGGCAACGGCUCACCAAGGCGACGAUGCGUAGCCGACCUGAGAGGGUGACCGGCCACACUGGGACUGAGACACGGCCCAGACUCCUACGGGAGGCAGCAGUAGGGAAUUUUCGGCAAUGGGGGGAACCCUGACCGAGCAACGCCGCGUGAAGGAAGAAGGAAUUCGUUCUGUAAACUUCUGUUAUAAAGGAAGAAAGACGGAUGGAGGAAAUGACAUCCGAGUGACGGUACUUUAUGAGAAAGCCACGGCUAACUACGUGCCAGCAGCCGCGGUAAUACGUAGGUGGCAAGCGUUAUCCGGAAUUAUUGGGCGUAAAGAGGGAGCAGGCGGCAGCAAAGGUCUGUGGUGAAAGACUGAAGCUUAACUUCAGUAAGCCAUAGAAACCGGGCAGCUAGAGUGCAGGAGAGGAUCGUGGAAUUCCAUGUGUAGCGGUGAAAUGCGUAGAUAUAUGGAGGAACACCAGUGGCGAAGGCGACGAUCUGGCCUGCAACUGACGCUCAGUCCCGAAAGCGUGGGGAGCAAAUAGGAUUAGAUACCCUAGUAGUCCACGCCGUAAACGAUGAGUACUAAGUGUUGGAAGUCAAAUUUCAGUGCUGCAGUUAACGCAGUAAGUACUCCGCCUGAGUAGUACGUUCGCAAGAAUGAAACUCAAAGGAAUUGACGGGGGCCCGCACAAGCGGUGGAGCAUGUGGUUUAAUUCGAAGCAACGCGAAGAACCUUACCAGGUCUUGACAUACUCAUAAAGGAUCCAGAGAUGGAUAGAUAGUUAUAUGAGAUACGGGUGGUGCAUGGUUGUCGUCAGCUCGUGUCGUGAGAUGUUGGGUUAAGUCCCGCAACGAGCGCAACCCUUGUCGUUAGUUACCAUCAUUAAGUUGGGGACUCUAGCGAGACUGCCAGUGACAAGCUGGAGGAAGGCGGGGAUGACGUCAAAUCAUCAUGCCCCUUAUGACCUGGGCUACACACGUGCUACAAUGGAUGGUGCAGAGGGAAGCGAAGCCGCGAGGCGAAGCAAAACCCAUAAAACCAUUCUCAGUUCGGAUUGUAGUCUGCAACUCGACUACAUGAAGUUGGAAUCGCUAGUAAUCGCGAAUCAGCAUGUCGCGGUGAAUACGUUCUCGGGCCUUGUACAAAGCGCCCGUCA
rnacentral:rRNA from 1 species